CUGGCUCAGGACGAACGCUGGCGGCGUGCCUAACACAUGCAAGUCGAACGGGGAGUUA
rnacentral:rRNA from 1 species